rnacentral:rRNA from 1 species
UACGUAGGGGGCAAGCGUUGUCCGGAUUUAUUGGGCGUAAAGAGCGUGUAGGCGGCCGCACAGGUCCGUUGUGAAAACUGGAGGCUUAACCUUCAGACGUCGAUGGAAACCGUGCGGCUAGAGUCCGGAAGAGGAGAGUGGAACUGCGAGUGUAGAGGUGAAAUUCGUAGAUAUUCGCAAGAACACCAGUGGCGAAGGCGGCUCACUGGCCCGGUACUGACGCUGAGGCACGAAAGCGUGGGGAGCAAACAGG